AGUGAACGCUGGCGGUAGGCCUAACACAUGCAAGUCGAACGGCAGCACAGUAAGAGCUUGCUCUUACGGGUGGCGAGUGGCGGACGGGUGAGGAAUACAUCGGAAUCUACUUUUUCGUGGGGGAUAACGUAGGGAAACUUACGCUAAUACCGCAUACGACCUACGGGUGAAAGCAGGGGAUCUUCGGACCUUGCGCGAUUGAAUGAGCCGAUGUCGGAUUAGCUAGUUGGCGGGGUAAAGGCCCACCAAGGCGACGAUCCGUAGCUGGUCUGAGAGGAUGAUCAGCCACACUGGAACUGAGACACGGUCCCGACUCCUACGCGAGGCAGCAGUGGGGAAUAUUGGACAAUGGGCGCAAGCCUGAUCCAGCCAUACCGCGUGGGUGAAGAAGGCCUUCGGGUUGUAAAGCCCUUUUGUUGGGAAAGAAAAGCAGCAGGUUAAUACCCCGCUGUUCUGACGGUACCCAAAGAAUAAGCACCGGCUAACUUCGUG
rnacentral:rRNA from 1 species